UACGAAGGGGGCUAGCGUUGCUCGGAAUCACUGGGCGUAAAGCGCACGUAGGCGGAUCUUUAAGUCAGGGGUGAAAUCCCAAGGCUCAACCUUGGAACUGCCUUUGAUACUGGGGAUCUCGAGUCCGGAAGAGGUGAGUGGAAUUCCGAGUGUAGAGGUGAAAUUCGUAGAUAUUCGGAGGAACACCAGUGGCGAAGGCGGCUCACUGGUCCGGUACUGACGCUGAGGUGCGAAAGCGUGGGGAGCAAACAGG
rnacentral:rRNA from 1 species